rnacentral:rRNA from 1 species
GACGAACGCUGGCGGCGUGCUUAACACAUGCAAGUCGAACGGAAAGGCCUGCUUUCCCUUGUGGAUUGCGGGUACUCGAGUGGCGAACGGGUGAGUAACACGUGAGUGAUCUGCCCCCAACUUGGGUAUAAGCCUGGGAAACUGGGUCUAAUUCCCGAUAGGACUGCAGGGUGGUGCCUGUGGUGGAAAACGAUUUUCUAGUGGUUGGGGAUGAGCUCGCGGCCUAUCAGCUUGUUGGUGGGGUAAUGGCCUACCAAGGCGGCGACGGGUAGCCGGCCUGGGAGGGUGGACGGCCACAUUGGGACGGAGAUACGGGCCAGACUCCUACGGGAGGCAGCAGUGGGGAAUAUUGCACAAUGGGCGGAAGCCUGAUGCAGCGACGCCGCGUGGGGGAUGACGGCCUUCGGGUUGUAAACUCCUUUCGACCGCGAGGAAGCCACCUGGUUGGAAGGGUGGUGACGGUAGUGGUAGAAGAAGCACCGGCUAACUACGUG